rnacentral:misc_RNA from 1 species
UCCGGGGUUGAUCCAGGCGCGCUCUACGGUCGAUUUGGAGGCGAUCGGUGUAUGUACCUCGCCGCCGCCGGACCCCUAUGGACCCUCCAAUAAUCGAGUGGUCCC